GAUGAACGCUGGCGGCGUGCCUAAUACAUGCAAGUCGAGCGAACAGACGAGGAGCUUGCUCCUCUGACGUUAGCGGCGGACGGGUGAGUAACACGUGGAUAACCUCCCUAUAAGACUGGGAUAACUUCGGGAAACCGGAGCUAAUACCGGAUAAUAUAUUGAACCGCAUGGUUCAAUAGUGAAAGACGGUUUUGCUGUCACUUAUAGAUGGAUCCGCGCCGCAUUAGCUAGUUGGUAAGGUAACGGCUUACCAAGGCAACGAUGCGUAGCCGACCUGAGAGGGUGAUCGGCCACACUGGAACUGAGACACGGUCCAGACUCCUACGGGAGGCAGCAGUAGGGAAUCUUCCGCAAUGGGCGAAAGCCUGACGGAGCAACGCCGCGUGAGUGAUGAAGGUCUUCGGAUCGUAAAACUCUGUUAUUAGGGAAGAACAAAUGUGUAAGUAACUAUGCACGUCUUGACGGUACCUAAUCAGAAAGCAACGGCUAACUACGUG
rnacentral:rRNA from 1 species